GAUGAAGAACGCAGCGAAAUGCGAUAAGUAAUGUGAAUUGCAGAAUUCAGUGAAUCAUCGAAUCUUUGAACGCACCUUGCGCCCUUUGGCCAUUCCGAAGGGCAUGCCUGUUUGAGUAUCAUGAACACCUCAACUCUUCAUGGUUUUCCAUGAUGAGCUUGGACUUUGGGGGUCUUGCUGGCCUACGGUCGGCUCCUCUAAAAUAAAUCAGCUUGCCAGUGUUUGGUGGGUAUCGCAGGUGUGAUAACUAUCUACGCUUGUGGUUUUCCACCAAGUAACCUUCAGCAGUGGAGGUUCACUGGAGCUCACAGAUGUGUCUCUCCUCAGUGAGGGAUAGCUCUUUGAAUGUUUGAUCUCAAAUCAGGUAGGACUACCCGCUGAACUUAAGCAUAUCAAUAAGCGGAGGA
rnacentral:misc_RNA from 1 species